GGCUUCCAUCUUCAUCUUCCUUCAGGCUUCCAUCGUCAUCCAUCGCUCCUCUUCCGUCGCUCCCCUACUCGAAUCAGAAAUCGAACGUUUAGCAGAGGAAAAUUAAGAUGGAGAGCUGAAUCUCAACACCAGGAUUUUUCGAGAAACAGCAAUAGUAGUGAUUCACAACAACCUAACGGUUCCGUGGUAUUGCUGGUGUGCCAAAAAAUCAACUGAGUUCUGUAAUGUAUGUGAAGACUUGGGAAAUCAACUUACUCAUUCCAUGUUCUUAGAAAACAACA